rnacentral:rRNA from 1 species
UACAGAGGUCUCAAGCGUUGUUCGGAUUCAUUGGGCGUAAAGGGUGUGUAGGUGGCGCCGUAAGUCGGGUGUGAAAUUUCGGAGCUUAACUCCGAAACUGCAUUCGAUACUGCGGUGCUUGAGGACUGGAGAGGAGACUGGAAUUCAUGGUGUAGCAGUGAAAUGCGUAGAGAUCAUGAGGAACACCAGUGGCGAAGGCGGGUCUCUGGACAGUUCCUGACACUGAGACACGAAGGCCAGGGGAGCAAACGGG